rnacentral:rRNA from 1 species
CCUACGGGAGGCAGCAGUGAGGAAUAUUGGUCAAUGGGCGUAAGCCUGAACCAGCCAAGUCGCGUGAGGGAUGAAGGUUCUAUGGAUCGUAAACCUCUUUUAUAAGGGAAUAAAGUGCGGGACGUGUCCCGUUUUGUAUGUACCUUAUGAAUAAGGAUCGGCUAACUCCGUGCCAGCAGCCGCGGUAAUACGGAGGAUCCGAGCGUUAUCCGGAUUUAUUGGGUUUAAAGGGUGCGUAGGCGGCCUUUUAAGUCAGCGGUGAAAGUCUGUGGCUCAACCAUAGAAUUGCCGUUGAAACUGGGCGGCUUGAGUAUGUUUGAGGCAGGCGGAAUGCGUGGUGUAGCGGUGAAAUGCUUAGAUAUCACGAAGAACUCCGAUUGCGAAGGCAGCCUACUAAACUGCCACUGACAUUGAUGCUCGAAAGUGUGGGUAUCAAACAGGAUUAGAUACCCCAGUAGUC